rnacentral:rRNA from 1 species
UACGUAGGGUGCGAGCGUUGUCCGGAAUUACUGGGCGUAAAGAGCUCGUAGGUGGUUUGUCGCGUUGUUCGUGAAAACUCACAGCUUAACUGUGGGCGUGCGGGCGAUACGGGCAGACUGGAGUACUGCAGGGGAGACUGGAAUUCCUGGUGUAGCGGUGGAAUGCGCAGAUAUUAGGAGGAACACCGGUGGCGAAGGCGGGUCUCUGGGCAGUAACUGACGCUGGAGGAGCGAAAGCGUGGGGAGCGAACAGG